rnacentral:rRNA from 1 species
CCUACGGGUGACAGCAGUGGGGGAUAUUGCACAAUGGGGGGAACCCUGAUGCAGCGACGCCGCGUGGGUGAAGGAGCGUUUCGGCGCGUAAAGCCCUAUCGGCAGGGAAGAAGAUGACGGUACCUGACCAAGAAGCCCCGGCUAAAUACGUGCCAGCCGCCGCGGGAAUACGUAGGGGGCAAGCGUUAUCCGGAUUUACUGGGUGGAAGGGGGGCGCAGACGGCAAUGCAAGGCAGGAGUGAAAGCCCGGGGCCCAACCCCGGGACUGCUCUUGGAACUGCAUGGCUGGAGUACAGGAGGGGCAGGCAGAAUUCCUAGUGUAGCGGUGAAAUGCGUAGAUAUUAGGAGGAACACCGGUGGCGAAGGCGGCCUGCUGGGCUGUGACUGACGUUGAGGCCCGAAGGCGUGGGGAGCAAACAGGAUUAGAUACCCGUGUAGUC